rnacentral:ncRNA from 2 species
AUUAAUAAUAUAUUAUAAGGUUCAAUUUAAUAUUAAUUAAUACUGAAUUGAUUAAAAGGGAAGUUGAGUGUAAAUCUCGCACGGUCCCGCCGCUGUAAAAGCGAAGUCUUUAUUAAAAUAUCACUGAGAAAUUGGGAAGGUUAUAAAGAUGAUGAUGCUUAAGUCAGAAUACCUGCCUGUAAUAUUAAUCCAUU